AAUAAAUCUUACGGCAGCACGGGACAAGACGGUAUCACGGCUCAAUUCUACAGGAAAAUUCACAGUUACACAUACAAAGUUUUCUGAGGCACAACUACAGCAAUGUGUUCUUGUAACAACAGAAGUAUUAAAAAUAAAACAUUUUGUAAAUCUUAUCAAGCCACAGGUAUCCAAAUGGACUGAAUAUUUACACUGGAUAUGAAAUGGGAACAGUGGAGGGCACAGUUCAGCUAACUGCUAAUUAGUGAAGCUAAUCAUUUAAUACGUGGGUUAACUUUUUAGCUAACCCGGAAGCCAUUUGUGGACAAAUUUCCAUUAAAAUUAGUUCCACUAACAUAAAAAAAAAGUUUAACUCUCAAGAACGUUUGUGAACUAGGGAUACAACUUUUUAAAUUUUUUUCCUUGCAGAAUACAUGAAGUCUUUAUCAAGGUGUCUGAAACGCAACCCUCAGUGACCAUAAUUAAAAUCAAAAUGUCCCAAAUGUUGAACUUGACUGAGGUCUUCGUGAUUUCAUUUUGUGCAAAACUUUCACCUUGA